UGUGUGUGUGUGUGUUAGUGUGUGUGUGUGUGUGAGAGAGAGAGAGAGAGAGAGAGAGAAAGAAGGAGAGAAUAGUGUAUAAAGAGGAUAAUCGCUGUGCCAAUGUCGUAUCAGGUAAAUAUCACAGUGCCACGUCACACUAACUGCCAGCUCUGACUUAUCGUAUCCUCGACCACGUCGUCUCGUUUCAUCAGUUUGCACACCGAUGUCGUUGGAAUUCUUGAGGCAGUAAUUCUUGUAUUUUUUUUUCUUUCUUUCUUCAAUUAAAGACAAAUCUCGUCUCCUGUAAUUUGAAAUCGUGAAACUGUCUGGAUGUAUUCCUUUCGGACGAGCAUGAGUGUCCUUUUCAGCUUCCCCAGCCAUGUAAAACAUUCAAAAGUGUUUUCACAUUUUUUUUCUGUUCCCAUUAAAAUGUUGAAUUGAUUUGAA